rnacentral:rRNA from 1 species
UGCCUAGAACAUAGCGUUAAUGCACUGGAUCCCAUUAGAACUUCGCAGUUAAGCAUGCUCAGGCUAGAGUAGUACUAGGAUGGGUGACUACCUAGGAAUUCCUAGUGUUUUACAUGC